rnacentral:rRNA from 1 species
UGAAGGACCGAGUUAGGCUAGCGGAGGACGCUGUUUAGGGUAAAACCGAGUGACUAGGGCU